UGAAAUGUUUUGUGGCUCUGGGAAAUGGGGUUUUAGGGUGUUUGGGUUACUAUUGAAUGGCCCCAGUUAAGGAAAAGAAAGAAAAAAAAAAGUUUGUCAAAAAAUAAAACACGAAGGUCCUUAGGCCGCGUUUUUAGCUCAAAUAAACGCGGCCUAAGGUCCCGUCUAUGGCCACGUUUAAAAAACGUGGCCUAAGAACCUGUCUAUGGCCACGUUUUUUAAACGUGGCCACAGUUAAGGAAAAGAAAAAAAAAAAGUUGCCAAAAAAUAAAGUACGGAGGUCCUUAGGCCGCGUUUUUAGCUCAAAUAAACGCGGCCUAAGGUCCCGUCUAUGGCCACGUUUAAAAAACGUGGCCUAAGAACCUGUCUAUGGCCACGUUUUUUAAACGUGGCCACAGUUAAGGAAAAGAAAAAAAAAAAGUUGCCAAAAAAUAAAGUACGGAGGUCCUUAGGCCGCGUUUUUAGCUCAAAUAAACGCGGCCUAAGGUCCCGUCUAUGGCCACGUUUAAAAAACGUGGCCUAAGAACCUGUCUAUGGCCACGUUUUUUAAACGUGGCCACAGUUAAGGAAAAGAAAAAAAAAAGUUGCCAAAAAAUAAAGUACGGAGGUCCUUAGGCCGCGUUUUUAGCUCAAAUAAACGCGGCCUAAGGUCCCGUCU